CCUACGGGAGGCAGCAGUGGGGAAUAUUGGACAAUGGGCGAAAGCCUGAUCCAGCAAUGCCGCGUGAGUGAAGAAGGCCUUCGGGUUGUAAAGCUCUUUUACCCGGGAAGAUAAUGACUGUACCGGGAGAAUAAGCCCCGGCUAACUCCGUGCCAGCAGCCGCGGUAAUACGGAGGGGGCUAGCGUUGUUCGGAAUUACUGGGCGUAAAGCGUACGUAGGCGGCUUUGUAAGUCAGAGGUGAAAGCCCACGACUCAAUCGUGGAACUGCCUUUGAGACUGCUUCGCUUGAAGAUGGGAGAGGUUAGUGGAAUUCCGAGUGUAGAGGUGAAAUUCGUAGAUAUUCGGAAGAACACCAGUGGCGAAGGCGGCUAACUGGACCAUUCUUGACGCUGAGGUACGAAAGCGUGGGGAGCAAACAGGAUUAGAUACCCUGGUAGUCCACGCCGUAAACGAUGAUAACUAGCUGUCGGGGCUCUUGGAGCUUCGGUGGCGCAGCUACGCAUAAGUUAUCCGUCCGUGGGUAGGUACGGCCGCGAAGUAAACGUACAAUAGAGUAGACGCGNGAGAAGUGCCGAGACGACGACGAGGGAGGAGG
rnacentral:rRNA from 1 species